UACAGAGGGGGCAAGCGUUAUUCGGAAUUAUUGGGCGUAAAGGGCGCGUAGGCGGCCUGGCAAGUGGGAGGUGAAAUCCCUCGGCUUAACCGAGGAACUGCCCUCCAAACUGCUUGGCUUGAGUCCGGGAGAGGUGAGUGGAAUUCCCAGUGUAGCGGUGAAAUGCGUAGAUAUUGGGAGGAACACCAGUGGCGAAGGCGGCUCACUGGACCGGAACUGACGCUGAGGCGCGAAAGCGUGGGGAGCAAA
rnacentral:rRNA from 1 species